rnacentral:rRNA from 1 species
UACGUAGGGGGCAAGCGUUGUCCGGAAUCAUUGGGCGUAAAGAGCGUGUAGGCGGUCCGGUAAGUCGGCUGUGAAAGUCCAGGGCUCAACCCUGGGAUGCCGGUCGAUACUGCCGGACUAGAGUUCGGAAGAGGCGAGUGGAAUUCCCGGUGUAGCGGUGAAAUGCGCAGAUAUCGGGAGGAACACCUAUGGCGAAGGCGACUUUCUGGCCUGUUCUUGACGCUGAGGCGCGAAAGCUAGGGGAGCAAACGGG